AAUGGAUUUAAACCCCAUACAUAAAAUUUAAUUUUUUUUUAGAA
rnacentral:tRNA from 1 species